rnacentral:rRNA from 1 species
AACGAACGCUGGCGGCAUGCCUAACACAUGCAAGUCGAACGAGACCUUCGGGUCUAGUGGCGCACGGGUGCGUAACGCGUGGGAACCUGCCCUUAGGUUCGGAAUAACUCCCCGAAAGGGGUGCUAAUACCGGAUAAUGUCUUCGGACCAAAGAUUUAUCGCCUUUGGAUGGGCCCGCGUUGGAUUAGCUAGUUGGUAGGGUAAAAGCCUACCAAGGCGACGAUCCAUAGCUGGUCUGAGAGGAUGAUCAGCCACACUGGGACUGAGACACGGCCCAGACUCCUACGGGAGGCAGCAGUGGGGAAUAUUGGACAAUGGGCGAAAGCCGGAUCCAGCAAUGCCGCGGGAGUGAUGAAGGCCUUAGGGUUGUAAAGCUCUUUUACCCGGGAUGAUAAUGACAGUACCGGGAGAAUAAGCUCCGGCGAACUCCGU